GGGGAUUUAGUUCAGUGGUAGAGCGCUUGCCUAGCAAGUGCAAGGCCCUGGGUUCAGUCCCCA
rfam:Rattus norvegicus chromosome 2, whole genome shotgun sequence.